CGCAAGCCUGAUGCAGCCAUGCCGCGUGUAGUGAAGAAGGCCUUCGGGUUGUAAAGGUACUUUCAGCAGUGAGGAAGGUGGGUAUGUUAAUAGCAUAUUCAUUUGACGUUAGCUGCAGAAGAAGCACCGGCUAACUCCGUGCCAGCAGCCGCGGUAAUACGGAGGGUGCGAGCGUUAAUCGGAAUUACUGGGCGUAAAGCGCAUGCAGGUGGUUUGUUAAGUCAGAUGUGAAAGCCCGGGGCUCAACCUCGGAAUUGCAUUUGAAACUGGCAAACUAGAGUACUGUAGAGGGGGUAGAAUUUCAGGUGUAGCGGUGAAAUGCGUAGAGAUCUGAAGGAAUACCGGUGGCGAAGGCGGCCCCCUGGACCAGAUACUGACACUCAGAUGCGAAAGCGUGGGGAGCAAACAGGAUUAGAUACCCUGGUAG
rnacentral:rRNA from 1 species